UACGAAGGGGACUAGCGUUGUUCGGAGUUACUGGGCGUAAAGCGCGCGUAGGCGGAUCGCUAAGUCAGGGGUGAAAUCCCAGGGCUCAACCCUGGAACUGCCUUUGAUACUGACGAUCUGGAGAUCGGGAGAGGUUGGUGGAAUUCCGAGUGUAGAGGUGAAAUUCGUAGAUAUUCGGAGGAACACCAGAAGCGAAGGCGGCCAACUGGCCCGAUACUGACGCUGAGGCGCGAAAGCGUGGGGAGCAAACAGG
rnacentral:rRNA from 1 species